GACGAACGCUGGCGGCGUGCCUAAUACAUGCAAGUCGAACGCAGUGGGGACGGGUGAGUAACACGUGGGUAACCUCCCAUCAGAGGGGAUAACACUUGGAAACAGGUGCUAAACCGAUACUGAUGGAUGGACCCGCGGUGCAUUAGUUUGUUGGUGAGGUAACGGCCCACCAAGGCCACGAUGCAUAGCCGACCUGAGAGGGUGAACGGCCACAUGGGGACGGGUACACGGCCCAAAUGCCUACGGGAGGCGGCAGUAGGGAAUCUUCGGCAAUGGACGAAAGUCUGACGGGGAAACGCCGCGUGAGUGAAGAAGGUUUUCGGAUCGUAAAACUCUGUUGUUAGAGAAGCGGUAUCUAACCAGAAAGCCACGGCUAACUACGUGCCAGCAGCCGCGGUAAUUC
rnacentral:rRNA from 1 species